rnacentral:sRNA from 1 species
GUUAAUAUUAGUUUUGAACAACCAAUAUUGUUGACGCAACAACAUACAUCGUUGAAAAAAAUUUGUAUUUUUUAACAAAUCAUAUUGUCGUAUGAACAACAGUCAUAGUUGUUAAAACGUCUCGAAAAAAUCAACAAUUUAUCUGGCAGAAACAAAAAUUCGUGUUGUUGAAAAAAAAAGAUUUUUUUCUUGAUUAGUCAUUGCCACAUGAAGAUGCGUUCUAUUUGGAAACUGUGAGAAGAAUGAGAAGUUAUAGACGGUUGAGCACUCGUUGUGCCACUACACUGCAAUUACGGAGAAAAGGCACAGGAUUGUGAUUAACACCUUUUUAUUUGCCUGGAUUCUCUACUCUACUUCUCGACAGAGGUCUACUCGCCGUUCUUGGCCACUGUGGAGGCUUUUUAUGCAAAUAUUCGUUGGUCCUCAUUAUGGCUUUUCUAGGGCGAUCACAAUAGACCUCAGGUUCCCAAGUGAAGAGGAUAGCGAUUGAGCUUGCUAGAUGCGUGCUAUUCAACCUAAUAUAACCUGUGUUUAACAACCAAUACAUCAGUAAAAAACAAAACCAAAUUUAUAAAACUUGUAUUUCAAGUUUAUAUUUAUGAUAUGUUUCUAAAUUGAUUUGACAUUUGCAGUGUUAUCAGCUGUGCUGAAGCUCUCGCCUAUAUAUAUAUAUAUACGCCUUGUAUCUGGCAAAAAAAUAUAAAAUAAAGAAAAUGAAAUAGAA